rnacentral:sRNA from 1 species
GAGAGCCUGGGCAGGCAGCAGCUGGCUGACCAAGUCCACUGGAAGAGAAGGCUUGUGCCAGCCGGGAGAAGGAAGCCGGGGACAGGAUGAAAGCAACAACACCUUUGCAGACAGUCGACCGGCCGAAGGACUGGUACAAGACGAUGUUUAAGCAAAUUCACAUGGUGCACAAGCCGGGUCUGUACAACCCACCCUACAGUGCUCAGUCACACCCUGCUGCAAAGACCCAAACCUACAGACCUCUUUCCAAAAGCCACUCCGACAACAGCACCAAUGCCUUUAAGGAUGCGUCCUCCCCAGUGCCUCCCCUACAUGUUCCACCUCCAGUCCCACCGCUUCGACCAAGAGAUCGGUCUUCAACAGAAAAGCAUGACUGGGACCCUCCAGACAGAAAAGUGGACACAAGAAAAUUUCGGUCUGAGCCAAGGAGUAUUUUUGAAUAUGAACCUGGCAAGUCAUCAAUUCUGCAGCAUGAAAGACCAGUUACCAAGCCUCAAGCUUCCUGAUUGAUUGUCAUUCUAAUGGAUCAAGAUUAUAUUUCACUUUGCAGGAUUUUUUCUAAUUAUUUAAU